rnacentral:rRNA from 1 species
UACGUAGGGACCAAGCGUUGUUCGGAAUUACUGGGCGUAAAGCGCGCGCAGGCGGUCCUUCAAGUCAGAGGUGAAAGCCCAGAGCUCAACUCUGGAAUGGCCUUUGAGACUAGAGGACUUGGGUACGGGAGAGGUGAGUGGAAUUCCGAGUGUAGAGGUGAAAUUCGUAGAUAUUCGGAAGAACACCAGUGGCGAAGGCGGCUCACUGGCCCGUUACCGACGCUCAGGCGCGACAGCGUGGGGAGCAAACAGG